UCCCUGGUGGCUCAGAUGGUAAAGCAUCUGCCUACAAUGCAGUAGACCCGGGUUCAAUCCCUGGGUUGGGAA
rnacentral:tRNA from 1 species